rnacentral:rRNA from 1 species
AUUGAACGCUGGCGGCAGGCCUAACACAUGCAAGUCGAACGAGUGGCGGACGGGUGAGUAAUGUCUGGGAAACUGCCCGAUGGAGGGGGAUAACUACUGGAAACGGUAGCUAAUACCGCAUACCAUCGGAUGUGCCCAGAUGGGAUUAGCUAGUAGGUGGGGUAACGGCUCACCUAGGCGACGAUCCCUAGCUGGUAUGAGAGGAUGCCCAGCCACCCUGUAACUUAGACCCGGUCCAGACUCCUACGGGAGGCAGCAGUGGGGAAUAUGGCACAAGGGGCGCUAGCCUGAUGCAGCCAUGCCGCGUGUAUGAAGAAGGCCUUCGGGUUGUAAAGUACUUUCAGCGAGGAGGCGUUACUCGAAGAAGAAGCACCGGCUAACUCCGUGCCAGCAGCCGCGGUAAUUC